AGGCGACGAUGCGUAGGGGUUCUGAGAGGAAGGUCCCCCACACUGGUACUGAGACACGGACCAGACUCCUACGGGAGGCAGCAGUGAGGAAUAUUGGUCAAUGGGCGUAAGCCUGAACCAGCCAAGUCGCGUGAGGGAAGACGGUCCUACGGAUUGUAAACCUCUUUUGCCGGGGAGCAACGGGGUCCUUGCGAGGGCCCUAUGAGAGUACCCGGAGAAAAAGCAUCGGCUAACUCCGUGCCAGCAGCCGCGGUAAUACGGAGGAUGCGAGCGUUAUCCGGAUUUAUUGGGUUUAAAGGGUGCGUAGGCGGGCUGUUAAGUCAGCGGUCAAAUGUCGGGGCUCAACCCCGGCCUGCCGUUGAAACUGGCGGCCUCGAGUGGGCGAGAAGUAUGCGGAAUGCGUGGUGUAGCGGUGAAAUGCAUAGAUAUCACGCAGAACUCCGAUUGCGAAGGCAGCAUACCGGCGCCCUACUGACGCUGAGGCACGAAAGCGUGGGUAUCGAACAGGAUUAGAUACCCUGGUAGUCCACGCAGUAAACGAUGAAUGCUAGCUGUCCGGGACUUCGGUUCUGG
rnacentral:rRNA from 1 species